UACGUAGGGUCCGAGCGUUGUCCGGAAUUACUGGGCGUAAAGGGCGCGUAGGCGGCCUUCUAAGUCGAACGUGAAAUCCCCGGGCUCAACCCGGGAACUGCGUCCGAUACUGGGAGGCUUGAAUCCGGGAGAGGGAUGUGGAAUUCCAGGUGUAGCGGUGAAAUGCGUAGAUAUCUGGAGGAACACCGGUGGCGAAGGCGGCAUCCUGGACCGGUAUUGACGCUGAGGCGCGAAAGCCAGGGGAGCAAACGGGG
rnacentral:rRNA from 1 species